CAGGCAUUCCUUCAACAGCAAGAGCUUCUCGGGGAUACUGCAGUGUACCCGCGCAUGCAAGCAGUUGCUGCAGUGUUACCACUCCACUAUGUCUCCCUGUCAUGGCUUUUGCGCCAUCAGUACAGACACCAACACAUCUUGACCACCAAAGUCCAUUUUAUGUCUUAAAGCUGUCCAGUAGUUUAAAAAUAUCCUCAGCUGUUGUCCUGGUUUCCAGUGGUUUGCAGAAGAGGAUGUCUUCCUUAAUUGACCCCUCAUAAACAUAACGGAUAAAUAUACCAAGAGCUGUGCCAGGCCCUCCAUGUCUGUUUCUGUUGACUCAUCCAGGUGGAACGCAUAGAAUUCACUGGCUUGUAUGCGAAGCAGUAAUUGUUUUAAAACAUCUCCUGCCAUGUCACUGAUGAGUCGUGAAACAAUGUUGUUUGAUGAAGUAAUUGUCUGUAUAGUCUUUUUGGGCCUUUCCCCCAGCCAUAUCUGCGGCAGCAGGAAGAAUGAAGUCCUCCACAAUAGUAUGUGGCCUGCCUGUCCUAGCCACUCGGUAGCUCAUCAUAUAAGACACUUCUAGCCCCUUCUUAUUAAUGGUAUCUGUUGCUUUUAUACAUGUCUUACUACUCAAAAUUCAUUUCAAUUCUUGCUCAAAAAACACCUGGGGCAAAUUUUUCAAAUUGGCAUGUUUUGUUUCUAAAUGUCUGUGCAAGAGUGAAGAUUUCAUCGAGUUGUGAGAUAGAACACCCUGUAGCUGAGGAAAGGCACUACUCCCAAUCUAAGUGCACGCACCAGCCCUCACUGGAUGGAACACACCAGUCCCAGUUGGACAGCACGCACCAGCCCUCACUGGAUGGAACGCACCAGCUCCAGUAUGAUGGCACGCACCAGCCGCAUGGCAGCCAUGUGAUGGUUGUAGGGACGAGGUCGAACAAAUCCUCCGUGACAAGGGAAGGAUGGAGGAAGUAAUUUUGAGAAUAGACCCAGUCCAGAUCCGAGAGCUGCACGCUCUCAUUGACAUCAUUGGAGAAACACUGUUAGCUACAGGAGAGAAGGCCAUCGGUGCCAUCCGGCGAGCAAGAGUUGUUUCCUGACAGUGGCAUGUUCCUCUCAUCAUUCUGCCAUCCAUCAGGCAUCUAAGCAAGAUUGCUUGCGUCUGUUCAUUUUCUUUUUGACCAUUUUGUCUCAGUGGAAGAAUGUGUCAAUUCAGUUGCCUUUGGACGCCAUGGCAAGAUCCCCGAAGGGAAACUAGUCCUCGAACUGGAAAAAGGUCAGCGGAAUUCUAACCUACAUUUUGCGUUGUGCUACCUUGGAUGGUUGGACCGGAAUCGAUGAAGCAAAACUGAAGGCAUUCAUCAACAAGUGAAGGUCCAGAGCAGGACAUACAGAGUAGUGACUACUAAAAUAUUUUUGUUUGUGUACAAUGUGCAAUGUUCAUAUUUGCAAUAAGGUUAAUUUAAGAACAUACUGUUAUGGGCUUACUGGUGUCACAUGUAGGUUCGACUUUUUGUUCACUACAUCUGGUGGGUGACAACUGGCUAUUUUCAUCUCUACAAUAUUAUUUUUGGGUUUACCUAAUGUUUUAAAUCAGGUACAAGAGCACAUGCUGUAUAUUAAUUUUAUUUACGUUCUUACAUUCAAUGGAACCCAAUCUGUGUUGGGAAUGAAAAGUGAGAUGCAUUGUUAAUAUAAUAAGCACUGUUGAAUACAUUUGUUGAACUGUAUCAGUUUAUUCUUAUUGUUUAACAGGUAAUCAUAAUUAAUAAUAUGGCAAAUUAAUGCUAACAAAUGAAAUUCUCAAUUGUGUCUCAUAUCUCAUUAAUCAAGUUCAUGUAUAGCUUCUGUAGUAAUUAUAAGAGAAAUACAUGAGACAUGGAGGAGACGUUGCACAUACAAUGUAGAGCACUCCUUUAUGGCUCAUACUUAGAUAUUUCUGAAAUGAUCACCUCCGAUUAAGAUCAUUAGUCUAAUAAGUCUCAAACUUGUGUCAGGAAUUUAUCAUUAUUUGUCCUUCAAAUAAGAGGCAAGAAUGAGCGCAACGGUAUACAAUGAUAAGACCUCCUCUGCUGAUCAUACUUCUCGAAUACUGCUAAAACCAUCAUCUCAACUCAGCUUCAUGUGUCCUAUAUACACUACUGUUCAAAAGUUUGGGGUCACUUAGAAAUGUCCUUGUUUUUGAAAGCAGAUUUUUUUGUCCA